ACCUAGCUGGUUCAGUUGGUGGAGCACGUGGCUCUUGAUCUUGGGGUUGUGGGUUUGAGCCCCACACUGGGUG
rnacentral:tRNA from 1 species